CAGAUGGGUUGUAAAGCAGUGGGGACAACUCGAGACAUCAACACAUUUGGCCUAGGAGCUACUAAUGAAGGUACAGUGCAGUGUUGGUUCAAGUUUUGCAAAGAAGACGAGAGCCUUGAGGGUGAGGAGCACAGUGGCUGGCCAUGGGAAGGUGGCAUUGGCCGGUGGAGAGCAGUCGCCCCAGCUGACCUGCUACAGCGAUGCGAGAAGUUGCCGAAAAACUCAGAUGCCAACCAUUUUACAGUCACUCAGCAUUUGAAAAAGCUCAAUAAACUUAAAAAAAAAAAUCAUCAUUUUGAAAUGUUGUCUUCUCUAAUUGUAUGUAGCAACAACCAGCCGUUUCUCCAUCAAAUGUGUGACAGAAAGUGGAUUUUAUAUGACAGCUCUCAGUGGUUGAAUGGAGAAGAAGUUCCAAAACACUUCCCAAAGCCAAACUUGCACCAAAAAAGGUCAUAAUCACUGUUUGGUGGUCUGCUGCUGGCAUCAUGCACGAUAGCUUUCUCGAUCCUGGCGAGACCAUUGCAUUUGAGAAGUGUGCUCAGCAGAUUGAUGCGGGGCACAGAAAACUGCAGCACCUGCGGCCAGCGCUGAACGAUAGAGCAGGCCCAGGUCUGCUCGAAAACCCCCAGCUGACGUAGCACAGCCAGCGCUUCAAAAGUGGAACAAGUUGUGCCUCGUUUGCCAUAUUCACCUGACCCCUAGUGAACCAAUUACCACUUGUUCAAGCAUCUCUGCGCAAAACACUUUCACAACCAGCAGGAAGCAGAAAAUGCUUUCCAAGAGUUCUUCGAAUGCUGAAACACGGAUUUUUACUCUAUGGGAAUAAGCAAAUUUCUCAUUGGCAAAAAUGUGUUGAUUAUAAUGGUUCCUAUUUUGGUUAA
rnacentral:lncRNA from 1 species